CCCGCCCCCGGCCCCGGCACGGGCGGGCUCCAGCCCGGUGCGGGGGGCCGUCGCCCCGCGGGCGGACCGGGUCCCUGCGGCGGGCAGGCGCCCCAGGCCGGGAGCCCCCGCUCCGGCAGGGCGCGGGGUGCCUCCCACGCUGCGGGGCAGCCCGCCGCCGCUCGGUGGGGCAGCCCAGUCCCGGGGGCGGACGGCUGCUCUCCCCUUGGCCGUUGGGAGGAGGCGGAGGGAAACAGAAAGCAGCCACAGGUCUGUUCUGUGAGGAGACGCACCCCCAGAUGCGCGCCGUGGCAUCACCGCGCAAGUUGGCCCCAGGCCGGUGAGGAGGUGGCGGGACACCAGCUGGCGCAGGUGGCUGCAGCUCGAGCAGGGGCCGAAGCAAAGCCCAGAGUGCGCUGGGGCAGAGAAGAGGGAUGCUGCAGUUGAACGCCAGUGCUCCAGUUCACUGUGACCUGCUGUAUCUCGUCCGCCUUUAUUUGAUCCAGCCCAGCAGAAGAGCGGCUGUGCCGCCCAGAACAGCUGCCCUCCUGUCUCUAGUCACACAGUCGCAGGCAACUCCUGACCUGGGGCACUUGAGAAGAAUUUACUGUACUUAAACCCCUGCACGUUACUUCUAAAUUUUAGAAGGUUGUGCAGUGGAAGAUGUGUUUAGCAAGCUCAGCGCAAUUCAGGUAUUCAAGUCUGAUAGUGUCUGUAAAAAUAAAGUGCAUCUUCACUGGACUAAGAGAUUUGAUAAUGACAAAGUAACUCUAAAACUGAUAAAUCUGUCACUAACUGACCAACACUAUUUUUCUCAGAGUGAGAGGAGUUUGACACCAACACAUUUUAAGUAGAAGGCAAAACAGAAAGUGGCAGGUGCGUUUCGGGUGAAUAUUCCAGAUGGAUACAUAAAGCCUUCACCAAUGUUUCUAAUAAAAUCAUAGGUUAUUAAAACAAAA